UGCCCUAGUAACGGCGAGUGAAGCGGCAACAGCUCAAAUUUGAAAGCUAGCCUUCGGGUUCGCAUUGUAAUUUGUAGAGGAUGAUUUGGGGAAGCCGCCUGUCUAAGUUCCUUGGAACAGGACGUCAUAGAGGGUGAGAAUCCCGUAUGUGACAGGAAAUGGCACCCUAUGUAAAUCUCCUUCGACGAGUCGAGUUGUUUGGGAAUGCAGCUCUAAAUGGGAGGUAAAUUUCUUCUAAAGCUAAAUAUUGGCGAGAGACCGAUAGCGCACAAGUAGAGUGAUCGAAAGAUGAAAAGCACUUUGGAAAGAGAGUUAAAAAGCACGUGAAAUUGUUGAAAGGGAAGCGCUUGCAAUCAGACUUGUUUAAACUGUUCGGCCGGUCUUCUGACCGGUUUACUCAGUUUGGACAGGCCAGCAUCAGUUUCGGCGGCCGGAUAAAGGCUCUGGGAAUGUGGCCUCCACUUCGGUGGAGGUGUUAUAGCCCAGGGUGUAAUACGGCCAGCCGGGACUGAGGUCCGCGCUUCGGCUAGGA
rnacentral:rRNA from 1 species